rnacentral:rRNA from 1 species
UGGUAAUUCCAGAGCUAAUACAUGCAAACAACAUGAAUCAUUCGCAGCAAUGUGGAUUGAGACAUGUGCUCUUAUUAGACUUUAAAACCAAUAUCCUCACUUCGGUGUGGGUUUGUUUUAGAUGAAUCUGGAUAAUUAUGGCUGAUCGCAUGGUCUCAGCACCGGCGAUAGAUCAUUCAAAUGUCUGCCCUAUCAACUAUUGAUGGUAGUAUAGUGGACUACCAUGGUUGCAACGGGUAACGGGGAAUCAGGGUUCGAUUCCGGAGAGGGAGCCUGAGAAACGGCUACCACAUCUAAGGAAGGCAGCAGGCGCGUAAAUUACCCAAUCCCGGCACGGGGAGGUAGUGACGAAAAAUAACAAUACAGGA